AUUGAACGCUGGCGGCAGGCCUAACACAUGCAAGUCGAGCGGAUGACGGGAGUUUGCUCCUUGAUUCAGCGGCGGACGGGUGAGUAAUGCCUAGGAAUCUGCCUGGUAGUGGGGGACAACGUUUUGAAAGGAACGCUAAUACCGCAUACGUCCUACGGGAGAAAGCAGGGGACCUUCGGGCCUUGCGCUAUCAGAUGAGCCUAGGUCGGAUUAGCUAGUUGGUGGGGUAAUGGCUCACCAAGGCGACGAUCCGUAACUGGUCUGAGAGGAUGAUCAGUCACACUGGAACUGAGACACGGUCCAGACUCCUACGGGAGGCAGCAGUGGGGAAUAUUGGACAAUGGGCGAAAGCCUGAUCCAGCCAUGCCGCGUGUGUGAAGAAGGUCUUCGGAUUGUAAAGCACUUUAAGUUGGGAGGAAGGGCAGUAAGCUAAUACCUUGCUGUUUUGACGUUACCGACAGAAUAAGCACCGGCUAACUCUGUGCCAGCCGCCGCGGUAA
rnacentral:rRNA from 1 species